rnacentral:snRNA from 1 species
AUUGGUAACUAUCAAAAC